ensembl:lncRNA
GCCGUGCUGCGGCAGGGGCUUGGGACGCCGCGUGUGUUGUCCUGCCGUGCCUUGCUCGUGUGGGCUGCCAGAGCUCCUUCCCCAGCUGCCGCGUCCCCUGCCAGCCCCAUGGCCGCAGCAGGGAUGGUUUGAGGGACUGGGUUUUGAUUUGUCCCAGCAGGAUCUGCCCUCUCAAGAUGAUCCAGAGGGGAUGAUGCUUUCGGGGGACCCUCCCUCCGAUGUGGGGGGAGUGCUGGCGUUCCCUCAGUCCCCCCAAAAAUGGCAGAAUUACCCCUGUGUGGUUACCACUGAUCAGGAUGUGGGAACCCUGAUUUCAGCCAAACUUGUGGAGCUGUGAAUUCUGCCCCCCCCUCCCCCAAUAAAUAAAUUUUCCAUAAAUUUCCUCAAAUUGCCUGAAAAGGAUUACAGGAGGAGGGAAGUGAAAGCCCCAUGGGCCUCUGGAAGGCCCUAGCUGGGUCGACCUGAGUGGGGCAGCAGAGAGCCCCCACCCCCUGCCCUGGGAGCUGUGCGGUUUCCUGCGACCAAUGCCUUCCUGCACUCCGGGUGGUUCUGAUCCUCCUUCUCCUCCUGUCCCUUGGGGCCCCUUGGUUGCCUGAUCGCCCCCAUGGCCACCUCCUGGGGGCCGGUGACCCUCCUGGGGGGGCCCGACCCCUUUCUCUGCCACAAGGGGGGGAGUUGGCCCCAGUACCCUAUUUGUCUGGCAGCCUCACCCUUCCCAUCCCCAAAUUCUGCCCCAGCCUUUGGGACGGGGUUUUGGGGAAACUUCCCAGAGGCACCUCCACCUUGGUGUGACAUCCUGGGAGAGGGGAGAGAGUCCUGGGCACUUGGCUCCUCCCCUGCCCUUAUGGGACUAGCGUUUGCCCUCCCUGUGCCUCAGUUUCCCCUGGAGGCUGCUGGAGGCGAGGCUGGGGGCAGGGGAAGGGGUUCUGUGACCCCAGUGCAACUCUGGGCUCUCGUCUUUGUCUCCCCGAGCAGAGCCAUCCACCUCUCUGUCCCCAGCCCGCUGACAGGUGACACUGCGGAGCCCCCCCGGAGCGAGCCACCCAGCCCCAGUGAGGAGGAGAGGGGCCUCCCCGAGGCGGCCGCUGCCCCUCCGAGCCCUGGGCCCACCCUGCUGCCGCUGGAGGCUGCCACUGGGACCUUGCCAGACAUGGGGAGCGAAGGGGACCCCUCGGAGCACCCAGACGGGGGGAGACUACUGAGCUGGGAGGAGGAGCAGCUCUGCCUGGAUGCUCCCCAGCCUGAGGGGCCUGCAGACGGCGCUGAGCAGGAAUUCACUUUCCUGGAGGACACGGAGGUCCUGGACAGCAGCGUCUACCGGUGCAAAGCCAACCUGGGCCGCAAGCGCCGGCACCGGGCACCGGCCCUCCGCCGCGACGUCACCUCGGAGGGGGACAGCUGGAUCUUCCGGGACUCCACGGGUGAGACAGAGCCUCCCCGGGCCGCGGUGACGGGAGGAGAGGGGCGGUGAGGCCACUUCUGUGUGGCAGAGGGGUCUCGUGGUGACACUGAAUCCCACGUCCUCCCCGCAGAGCCCCGUCCUGCCCGCCCGGCAGCAUCCUCUGAUGAGGAGAUGGUGGAAGAACCCAAGAGCCGGCGGGUGCGUGCGUCCCCCUCGGGGAAGGGGGUGAAGGUGCCACUUUUCCCCGGCCUCAACGCAUCUGCCCUCAAGGUGGGGCCCUGAGCGAGGGGGUGACGUGAGGGGGUAAACUGAGGCAGGUUGGGACUGGGCGGGGUUGGCCAGAAGCAGGUGGGGAGGCGAUUUGUGGGGGGGCAGAGCACCUCAUGCCCCCUGACCCCAAUCCUCUGCACCCAGGCCAAGCUGAGGGUCCGAAACCGCUCAGCUGAGGAGGGGGCAGUGCCGGGGGACAGCAAGGCAGCCCCCCCCAAGGACUCCCAUGUGCAGCGCUCCAAGUCCUGCAAGAUACCCAGCUCCAGCGGAAAACCACUGGCACUGCCCCCCAAGCCAGAGAAGACCUCAGGGUGAGUGUUGGGGCGUGGGACCCUUGGUGGGGACGUGUGGGCAGGUGUGGGGACAGA